CUCGCCACUGCAAGAUUACCCACUGAACUUAAGCAUAUUACUAAGUGGAGGAAAAGAAAACAACA
rnacentral:rRNA from 1 species